rnacentral:rRNA from 1 species
GAUGAACGCUGGCGGCGUGCCUAAUACAUGCAAGUCGAGCGAACGGACGAGAAGCUUGCUUUUCUGAUGUUAGCGGCGGACGGGUGAUUAACACGUGGAUAACCUACCUAUAAGACUGGGAUAACUUCGUGAAACCGGAGCUAAUACCGGAUAAUAUUUUGAACCGCAUGGUUCAAAAGUGAAAGACGGUCUUGCUGUCACUUAUAGAUGGAUCCGCGCUGCAUUAGCUAGUUGGUAAGGUAAAGGCUUACCAAGGCAACGAUGCAUAGCCGACCUGAGAGGGUGAUCGGCCACACUGGAACUGAGACACGGUCCAGACUCCUACGGGAGGCAGCAGUAGGGAAUCUUCCGCAAUGGGCGAAAGCCUGACGGAGCAACGCCGCGUGAGUGAUGAAGGUCUUCGGAUCGUAAAACUCUGUUAGUAGGGAAGAACAUAUGUGUAAGUAACUGUGCACAUCUUGACGGUACCUAAUCAGAAAGCCACGGCUAACUACGUG